AGAGUUUGAUCCUGGCUCAGGAUGAACGCUGGCGGCGUGCCUAACACAUGCAAGUCGAGCGAAGCACUUUACUUUGAUUCUUCGGAAUGAAGAGUGAUUUGACUGAGCGGCGGACGGGUGAGUAACGCGUGGGUAACCUGCCUCACACAGGGGGAUAACAGUUAGAAAUGACUGCUAAUACCGCAUAAGGCCACAGCACCGCAUGGUGCAGGGGUAAAAACUCCGGUGGUGUGAGAUGGGCCCGCGUCUGAUUAGUUAGUUGGCGGGGUAACGGCCCACCAAGACGACGAUCAGUAGCCGACCUGAGAGGGUGACCGGCCACAUUGGGACUGAGACACGGCCCAAACUCCUACGGGAGGCAGCAGUGGGGAAUAUUGCACAAUGGGGGAAACCCUGAUGCAGCGACGCCGCGUGAGCGAAGAAGUAUUUCGGUAUGUAAAGCUCUAUCAGCAGGGAAGAAAUUGACGGUACCUGACUAAGAAGCACCGGCUAAAUACGUGCCAGCAGCCGCGGUAAUACGUAUGGUGCAAGCGUUAUCCGGAUUUACUGGGUGUAAAGGGAGCGUAGACGGAGCAGCAAGUCUGGAGUGAAAACCCGGGGCUCAACCCCGGGACUGCUUUGGAAACUGUUGUUCUAGAGUGCUGGAGAGGUAAGUGGAAUUCCUAGUGUAGCGGUGAAAUGCGUAGAUAUUAGGAGGAACACCAGUGGCGAAGGCGGCUUACUGGACAGUAACUGACGUUGAGGCUCGAAAGCGUGGGGAGCAAACAGGAUUAGAUACCCUGGUAGUCC
rnacentral:rRNA from 1 species